rnacentral:rRNA from 1 species
AAUUUUGGACAAUGGGGGAAACCCUGAUCCAGCCAUCCCGCGUGUAUGAUGAAGGCCUUCGGGUUGAAAAGUACUUUUGGCAGAGAAGAAAAGGUACCUCCUAAUACGAGGUACUGCUGACGGUAUCUGCAGACUAAGCACCGGCUAACUACGUGCUCGCAGCCGCGGUAAUACGUAGGGUGACAGAGUUAAUCGCAAUUACUGGGCGUAAAGAGUUUGUAGGCGGUUCGGAAAGAAAGAUGUGAAAUCCCAGGGCUCAACCUUGGAACUGCAUUUUUAACUGCCGAGCUAGAGUAUGUCAGAGGGGGGUAGAAUUCCACGUGUAGCAGUGAAAUGCGUAGAUAUGUGGAGGAAUACCGAUGGCGAAGGCAGCCCCCUGGGAUAAUACUGACGCUCAGACACGAAAGCGUGGGGAGCAAACA